CCUACGGGUGGCAGCAGUGGGGAAUAUUGCACAAUGGGGGAAACCCUGAUGCAGCGACGCCGCGUGAGUGAAGAAGUAUCUCGGUAUGUAAAGCUCUAUCAGCAGGGAAGAAAAUGACGGUACCUGACUAAGAAGCCCCGGCUAACUACGUGCCAGCAGCCGCGGUAAUACGUAGGGGGCAGGCGUUAUCCGGAUUUACUGGGUGUAAAGGGAGCGUAGACGGCGCUGCAAGUCCGGAGUGAAAGCCCAGGGCUUAACCAUGGUACUGCUCUGGAAACUGUGGAGCUUGGGUGCGGGAGGGGAAGGCGGAAUUCUUGGGUUAGCGGGGAAAGGCGUAGAUAUUAGGAGGAAAACCGGCGGGGAAGGCGGCCUGCUGGACCGUAAUUGACGUUGAGGUUCGAAAGCGUGGGGAGCAAACAGGAUUAGAUACCCUUGUAGU
rnacentral:rRNA from 1 species